UACGUAGGGGGCUAGCGUUGUCCGGAAUUAUUGGGCGUAAAGAGCGUGUAGGCGGUCCGGUAAGUCAGCUGUGAAAGUCAAGGGCUCAACCCUUGAAUGCCGGUUGAUACUGUCGGGCUAGAGUCCGGAAGAGGCGAGUGGAAUUCCCGGUGUAGCGGUGAAAUGCGCAGAUAUCGGGAGGAACACCAAUGGCGAAGGCAGCUCGCUGGGACGGUACUGACGCUGAGACGCGAAAGCGUGGGGAGCAAACGGG
rnacentral:rRNA from 1 species